GUUUUAAUAGUUAAUAAUACCUCGGUCUUGUAAACCGAAAAUAAGACAUGCCCCCACUUUUAAAACU
rnacentral:tRNA from 1 species